rnacentral:lncRNA from 1 species
GGGUAGGGCCCGGGGAAGUUCGGUGGAUCUGGGUCUCUAUUUUCAAGACACCAGGAUCUGUCAUUGAGUGAAAAGAUCAUGGAUACAGACGAACAAGGAGCCCCAGACCAACGAAGCCAAUAAAUGCAGCAACUGGGAAGACGCCUACCGGAACUCAUCUCGAACUAUGUGGUUUAAUAUGUUGGCCAUAGUAGCCUUUGUAGGCAUCAUUUAUAUACUUGUCCUAGUCCUAUGAAAGCUACACAUCAGCAUCUACGGGCUCCUCCCCCAACAGACAUGCUCACUUAGACUUUGACCAGCCAUCAAGAAGAAACUCAGAGCUUCAGAAAUGCCCUUGCCAAGAAACCCACCAACCAAAAAACUCAACAUCCAAAAAACGGCCCCAGGCAGGCCACCUGACUACACUCCACCAGUUCAUUCUCAUUUGUCUUCCACGGCUGUCUAAAAGCAUCUUGGAAGUCCACAUCUCAAGUUCUAAAUCUGCAUAAGCCACUGAGCUGCUCUUUCAUGAAAAAAAAAAAAAUCACAUUUCUGAGCCCAAUAAAAUUGAAGGGAAUAUCCCGGC